AAAUUUUCUUAAGCAAAAUAUUAAAAUUUUACUAUGUUAUGACUGAAUUGUGUUUAUCCCAAGAAUUCAAGAUUAACUUGACAUUUCAAAAUCAGUCAUAUAUUUUACCUACAUUAGCAAAAGGAGGAAGAAAAAAUUAUAUGAUCUUCUCAAUAGAGGCAGAAAAGAAUGAUAAAUGUCAAGUCCAUUAAUGGUUGAAAACACAGAAGUACUUUAAAAACCAGAAUAGUGUCUGCAACAAAAUUCACAUUUAAUAGAUGCUGAAAAACUUCCCUCUGAAAUCAGAAAUUGUACAAACGUGCUCUCCAUCACUACUUUCACUUUUACUCAAUAUUGUACAGGAAGUCUUAUCCAGUGUAAUAAGACAACAUACAAAACAAAAACAAAAACCUAAAAGGAAUAGUAUUGAAAAGAAAACAUCUGUUACUAUCACAGAAAAUAUGAUGACUCGAGUUGAAAUCCAAAAACAAUCUAAAAUGAAUUCCAGGAGAACUAUCCCAACAACCCUACCAUGGCUAGUGUUCCCUGGACACCAUGAACCACACUGUCCGAACCUUCUUCACUCCUGCCAACACCGACCAUCCCCCCAGCUAUGAGAUGCUGAAGGAGGAGCAUGAGGUGGCUGUUCUGGGGGCACCCCACAACCCUGCUCCCCUGACAUCCACCAUGAUCCACAUUCGCAGCGAGAUCUCCCUGCCUGACCAUGUCGUCUGGUCCCUGUUCAACACCUUCUUCAUGAACUCCUGCUGCGUGGGCUUCAGCGUUUGCCUACUCCGUGAAGUCCAGGGACAUGGAGAUGGUUGGUGACCUGACUGGGGCCCAGGCCUAUGCCUCCACCACCAAGUGCCUCAACAUCUGGGCCCUGAUUUUGGGGAUCAUCAUGACCCUUCUGCUGAUCAUCAUCCCAGUACUGAUCUUGCAAGUCUAUUGAUAGAUCAAGAGGAAUCAUCCAUGCCAGGUGCUCUGCCCCUGAUCUGUUUCCCACAUACUUCCAUUCCUCACCCUGCCCCUGAGCCACGUCCUGUAUCAGCCCUUUAUACUCACACACUUUUCUACGAUGGCAUUCAAUAAAAUGCAUGUGUUCCUGGAAAAUAAAUAAAUAAAUAAUAAAAUAAAAUAAAAAUAAAAUGAAUUCCAAAAAUUAAUGAGUUUAUAGUUACUA